ensembl:lncRNA
CUGUACUGGGUUAGGAUAGUACCCUCCCCCCUGUACUGGGUUAGGAUAGUACCCUGCCCCCUGUACUGGGUUAGGAUAGUACCCUCCCCCCUGUACUGGGUUAGGAUAGUACCCUCCCCCUGUACUGGGUUAAGGUUAGGUUACUGUAUGUGUUGAGUGGCAGUUUUGUUUGACAGAUUGUCAAGACUAUACGUUUUAUUCUGGUUGUGAUUUAAGACUGUACAUUUUAUUCUGGUUGUGAAGGAGGAACUCCCAUUUCUAUUUGAUGAUUAAUUAAGGUUAGAUUAUUAUUUGUCUAUUACAAUAAGGCUUGUUGAGUAUUUAGGUGUAUUACAUCGUGUUCUCUCUUUUAAGGGCCAUAUUCUCCUCCCUCAUGACACUAUCUAACCCCUAACCCAAUAAGGGCUUGGUGAGGGUAUCCACAUGUAUUAUUUCCAGGCGUAUGUACAGUUUAUUAGGUACACCCAUCUAGUACUGGGUCGGACACCCAUUUGUCUCCAGAACAGCCUGAAUUAUUCGGGCAUGGAUUCUACAAGUCAGAAACGUUCCACAGGGAUGUUGGUCCAUGCUGACGCAAUGGCAUCACGCAGUUGCUGCAGAUUGGAUGUCGGUCCACCACCACCAGCCUGUACCGUUGACACCAGGCAGGAUGGGUCCAUGGACUCAUGGUGUUUAUGCCAAAUCCUGACUCUGCCAUCAGCAUGGCGCAACAGGAACUGGGAUUCUUCGGACCAGGCAAUAUUUUUUACACUUCUCAAUUGUUCAGUGUUGGUGAUCGCGUGCCCACUGGAGCCCUGUGUGGUCAUCUGUUGCAAUAGCCUAUCCGUGAGGGAUCAACGAGUUAUGUGUUCCGAGAUGCCGUUCUGCACACCGCUGUUAUUCGUCUGUUUGUGGUCCGCUUGCGUGUUUCUUGCCAUUCUCCUUCGACCUCUCUCAUCAAUGAGCUGUUUUUUUCCCACAGGACUGCCGCUGACUGAAUGUUUUGUGUUUGCCAAACCAUUCUCGGUAAACCCCUAGACACUGUCGCAAGUGAAAAGCCUAGGAGGUCUGCUGUUUCUGAGAUACUGUAUCCGGCGUGCCUGGCACUGACGAUCAUUGCUUAGGUGUCUCGUUUUGCCUAUUCUAACGUUCAAUCAAGCAGUAACUAAAUGCCUAUCUGCAUGCUUUAUAUAGCAAGCAACGGCCACGUUGUUCACUGUCUGGAGCAAUCCGUUUUGGAGAACUAGGUGCUGUACCUAAUAAACUGGCUGAUGUAUAUCAAGGUGUAUCAUACCAUUGUUUUCCUCUGUAAGUGUUCUGUUCCUCUGGGGCCUGAUGACAUUCUUACAGGAACACCUGAGAUCUGACUAAUCUUUACAGUUUAUAAUACAAUUUACUACUGAAAAUGCCCAUGGUGUCUGUGUCAUUGAAUCGAUUAAUAAAAAUGUCUGUAUGUACAGUCGCUAAUGAAAGAAUACACACCCUUUCAUAUUUUGCUGCCUUAAAAUUUUAUCUAAAAAGGGAUUACAUUAGAUUUUUUCCCCACCAAUCUACACUACCUACUCCACAUGUUUUAAGUGAAAGAAAA